UACGUAGGGACCAAGCGUUGUUCGGAUUUACUGGGCGUAAAGGGCGCGUAGGCGGCGUGUUAAGUCAGUUGUGAAAUCUCCAAGCUUAACUUGGAACGGUCAACUGAUACUGAUGUGCUAGAGUGCAGAAGGGGCAACCGGAAUUCUUGGUGUAGCGGUGAAAUGCGUAGAUAUCAAGAGGAACACCUGAGGUGAAGACGGGUUGCUGGACUGACACUGACGCUGAGGCGCGAAAGCGUGGGGAGCAAACAGG
rnacentral:rRNA from 1 species